rnacentral:lncRNA from 1 species
AAGAAUGUCCUUUGGGCUUUUUAGCAUCCUUGUGACAGGCAUCAUGUUCAUCUCAAGCUGUUUGGUAUUUUGGAAUUGGCUGGAAAAUGAGGAAGAAAGGGUGAACUGCUCGGGGGGAGCCCUCGAGAGGAUCUUCCUUUUUUGUGCACUCUGUAUUAUUAAAGCAGCCCCACAGCGAUUGUGCCUUGUCUCCCCUCUCUGUCCUCUUCUGAUCAUUUCUAUUUAUGAACAUAAUUUUACGUAAUUUUAGU